rnacentral:misc_RNA from 1 species
UUUCCGUAGGUGAACCUGCGGAAGGAUCAUUCAUAAUAAAGUGUUUUAUGGCACUUUUUAAAAAUCCAUAUCCACCUUGUGUGCAAUGUUAGAUCUCGUCAAUCUUGGCGAGGUUUUUAUACAUCAAUUCAUUCUUUAACUAAUUUGUCUGAAAAAUAUUAUGAUUACUAAAUUCAAAAUACAACUUUCAACAACGGAUCUCUUGGCUCUC